rnacentral:rRNA from 1 species
AUUGAACGCUGGCGGCAGGCUUAACACAUGCAAGUCGAACGAGUGGCGGACGGGUGAGUAAUGCUUGGGAAUCUAGCUUAUGGAGGGGGAUAACUACGGGGAACUGUAGCUAAUACCGCAUACCAUCGGGAGAGCCCAAGUGGGAUUAGAUAGUGGGGUAGGUAAAGGCUCACCAAGCCGACGAUCUCUAGCUGGUCUGAGAGGAUGACCAGCCACACUGGGACUGAGACACGGUCCAGACUCCUACGGGAGGCAGCAGUGGGGAAUAUUGCGAAAUGGGGGCAACCUGACGCAGCCAUGCCGCGUGAAUGAAGAAGGCCGUCGGGUUGUAAAGUGCUUUCGGUAGAGAGGCGUUAACUACAGAAGAAGCACCGGCUAACUCCGUGCCAGCAGCCGCGGUAAUAC